rnacentral:rRNA from 1 species
GAAACACGGAUCAAGGAGUCUAACAGGUGCGCUAGUCCUCGGGCUGUCUAAACCCAUAAGGGCGAAGCAAAAGCAAAAUGAAACGUAUCUCCGGAUGCGAGAGAGCCGAUCCGGUCCUCCUUCGGGGGUGACCCGGCGCAGGCUCGGGGUCCGUCAUCGACGGGCGGUGCUUGACACCUCCCCCGUCCGGCGGGCACCCAGAGCGUGCACGUUAGUACCCGAAAGAUGGUGAUCUAUGCUUGGCAAGAGCGAAGCCAGAGGAAACUCUGGUGGAGGUUCGUAGCGAUUCUGACGUGCAAAUCGAUCGUCAGAGC